rnacentral:lncRNA from 1 species
GCGAAAGCAAUGGAAACAGCUGAAAUAGUAUAAUAAAACAUGUCAUUACAGCAGAUUAGGAUGAAAAAUAGUUCUUGCAUUAUGCCCUGAAGGUUGGCAAACUGGGGCUUCGUAAAUAUGUCAAGAAAUGUACACACAAACGCACACGCAUAGAUAUUUAUAUACAAAAUCUCAGAAGCAGUGGAACCAGCUGAAAUGGUAGAAUUAUGUGCAUCUCGCGAAUAAAGUGUGCAUUAUUGCCCUGGUUUCUGUAACACGCUCAGAUAUAGAUGGAGGAGGGGACAGAAAUUUCAGAAUCUGCAGAAUGUCACAGGGUCCUGCCGUUUCCCAUCAAGAGUUCCCUGGGAAGGUAAAGUCAUCAGUAUAAGAUCAGCUCUCGGACCCUCGCGCACUCGCCUAUCAGAAGUCUCUCUGGACUUGUUCCCUUGGUGUCUGCUACUCCCACUCAGGCCCCACGCGACAUCACAUUCCUGUUGCUAAUGGGUUCACAGUCUGUUUUGCCAUAUGGGAGGAGGUAGCAGAAUUUCUUAAAGGCAACUACAAGCCAACUUUUACCCACUGUUACUCCCGGCUGGGAUUGCCCAACACCUGCAUGGGGCCAUGGGAAAGGGGGAAUAGCGUCCCUCUCCCAUGGCUCUUUGCCAACAGUAUUCCAUUUCUUUCUAAUUACAUUUCUAAGUUAAAGGGGGACAAAGCAAAGCUAGUGAAAUUGACUCAACCCACUCCUGAGUCAUUAUUUCCCCCACUGGUUCCAAAAGGAAACAUUUGACUCAGAUUAUGAGAAUUAGCAGAAAGAUAUGAAUUGUUUGUGUGUCACCAAAGCCCUUGAGCAACGACUGUCCACCCAUGAUCAGCAAAUUAGCAAAUUGCUUCUGGGUUGAUCUUCCUGGCGGGGCUUGGGGUCUGUUUUAUUUCACUGACAGGCACCUGUCUCCGAUAGUAGGGCCCUCAGAGUGAUAAAUUGCAUCCAUAUUUACUCUUCUUCCCAAAGCUAAUUGUUGGGGGUGAGGGUUGUGUUUGAAAUACCUUUUUGAUGUGCUAAGAGCUUCCUACGAGGUAAAUAAACAGACCGUUGGGCUUAGCCAGAGGUGUCUGCAGAAGCCAAUAUCCUAAUUCUCGGUAGUUAAUGGACAUUAACCUCUCCAGCUUUCCCUCUUUCAGCUCACACCCUCAUCCUAUAAUCAUUGUCAUUACUUAUAAUAACAUUUUACACUGGUAGGUCAGCUUUUCUUCCUAAGUGCUCUAGUCUUGCCUAAUGAGUAGCUUUCGAAUCUAAAUAAUGAAGCAUUUGCCCUCCUCAGGUUCCAGCUUCUAGUGGGGAGAAUGCUUUUCCCCUGACCUUUUGGUUUGAGUAUGCAUUUGUUUCUCUACAGGAUCCAAAUAAUGAAGAUAGCUU